rnacentral:rRNA from 1 species
GCUUACGGCCACACCACCCUGAACACGCCGAUCUCGUCCGAUCUCGGAAGCUAAGCAGGGCCGGGCCUGGUUAGUACUUGGAUGGGAGACCGCCUGGGAAUACCAGGUGCUGUAAGUU